AGUCUCGAGAGGCCGCGUCAAUGGUUCCAGGGAAGACUGUUGAUUUUCAGCGCAAGAAAAUCAAAGGAAGUCUUAGGAAGCUUGACGAGCAGCCUGAGUGGCUGAAAGGGGGCAAACUUCGAGACUAUCAGCUUGAAGGUCUUAACUUUCUUGUUAACAGCUGGUGAAAUGAUACCAAUGUAAUUUUAGCUGAUGAAAUGGGUCUUGGUAAAACUGUUCAGUCAGUUUCAAUGCUUGGUUUUCUGCAGAAUUCUCAGCAAAUUCAAGGACCAUUUCUUGUUGUUGUUCCUUUAUCUACCUUGUCUAAUUGGGCAAAAGAGUUUAGAAAGUGGUUGCCUGAGAUGAAUGUUAUUAUAUAUGUUGGAACUCGUGCUAGCCG